CUCAUCUAUAAGCAAGGACACCUCUGGAAGACGCAAGGCCUGGAUGUCACAGCCAGCCUUAUCAAUAAACAAUCUUCUGCCUUGACAGACGGAAGAGGAAGGGCCAAUUCAAUGAAUACUCAGAUCAAGUGUCUGUCUGGAAAGCUGGCAGUCUUCCAGAAAUACAAUUAGGGCCCAUUCCAGUGGAACAGAAGUGCUACUUUGGGGGUGGACUGAAACAAGUUGCUGGGCUUCCAUUGGCCAUUGCCACUUGCUUGUCGUUGUGAGGAGGGGCCGUGCCUCCACAGGCCCAUACCUGUAACCUGACGAUACUGUUGUGAGCGGGAAUGGAGGAAGUGCAUGGAAGCCCCUCAGCACGAUGCAUAGUGAACAGACAAGCUGUGAACCUUGGGAGUUAUCACCAUGUGUGAUGAUGCUGGUGAAGAAAGCCUGCACUGAGGAGGCUGUCAGCCUGGGUUUGAAUCCCCUCAUUUGGAAUAUAAUCUUGGCAAAGUC
rnacentral:lncRNA from 10 species